GACACGGCAGAAAGAGCAUCAUGAAAAAGGGGAGCCCGCCAGCUGUUGAGUGGCUGGACAGGAUGUGGGUCUGGGGUCAGGUGGGGCUUUAAUGCCUCUUCAUUCUCUGGGCAGAAGGCUGGGCAGCAGCAGCCAUGUGCUUUGACGGGACCUGGGCUCUCCUGCUAGGAGUUCCUGGGGGCGGGAAGGCUGCUCCUGACGACUUCUGAUAUGUACAGACUGGAAUAAGAGAACCUAGCAGAAUGGGGGCAGAGGCAAAAGAUUCAGAGGAAAAUAUCAAUGGAAAGCAGCUAGCAUGGACACCCCACAGUGUUCUUCCCUCUAGCAGUCUGGUAUUAUCUGGAGCUGAGAUGCUGGCUAAGGUGGUUGGGUCAUUUGUCCCCUCCAAAUCUCAUAUGAGAAUUUGAUUCCCAGUUUUGGGGAUUGGGUCUAGCAGGAGAACUUUGGGUCAUGACGGGGGGCUUGGCGUCCUGCUCACAGGAAUGAAUGAGUGCUCACUCUACGAGUUUGCUGGAAAGCUGGUUGUUUAAAGAGACUGGCAUCUCCCCCACUUUCUCUCUUGCUCACCCUCUUAACUGUGUGAUAUCCCUGCUCCCUUUGCUAUCCAUCAUGAGUGGAAGCUUCUUGAAGCCCUCACCAGAAACAGAUGCCAACACUAUGCUUCCUGUACAGCCUGCCAUACCACGAGCCAAAAUAAACCUCUUUACCUGAUCAAUUAUCCAGCCUCAGGUAUUCAUUUGUAGCAAUGAAAAAUGGACAAACACAGAAAAUUGGUACUGAGGAGUGGGGCUUUGCUAUAAAGAUAGCUGAAGAUGUAGAGGCAGCUUUGGAAAUGAAUCAAUUGAUAGAUAUUGGAAGAAUUUGGAGGGCUUAGAAGAAGACAGGAAGAUGAGGGAAAAUUUGGAACUGUCAACCAAAGGAUGAUGAGGUUCAUACAUGUGGAAAGGAGAGCUAUAUUUAUCCUAAAUGGUUUCAGCCUGCAGGGUGGCCAUUCUGAAUGGCUGGGAAGCAUAGCCUCCGGCCAGAAGCCAGAAACAGGCACUUGGUGUGUCAGAAGAAUAAAACAGGAUUUAUGCUGAAUGAGGUGGCCAAAUGUAUAUUCAGCAAGCUACAGGAGGAGCCACAAAUAUUUAUGAAAGAAGAAACAUGCACAUGUGCACUUGACCUCCAAGCCCCUUCGUGGGGUCCCAUGUUAAAAAAAUGGUAGUGUUAGCAAGAUGUGAGGGGGGAGUUUUUGGGCCUCUUCAUCAAAAGAUGAAGCAGAAGACACAAAAACCCUCAGUCAGUGUGCGGCCUCCCUAGAUUGACCAGAAGCUCUCAGUGGUUGGUGGUCUCUUAUCAGGAAGGAACACUGGUUGGUUGGCUUACUGAAACUGCAAAAGGGAGGGCCAGCAUAACGUGGUUGUUUAAAAUCAGUGGUGAGGUGAGUCUUUUGAAAGGGCUGGUUCCAACCCAAAUGCCUAUCGAUGAUAGACUGGAUAAAGACAAUGUGGCACAUAUAUACCAUUAAAUA